rnacentral:rRNA from 1 species
UACGAAGGGUGCGAGCGUUAUUCGGAUUUAUUGGGCGUAAAGGGUGCGUAGGUGGCAUGUUAAGUCUGUUGUUAAAUUUUCCGGCCUAACCGGAAAUGUGCAGUGGAAACUGGCGUGCUAGAGAGUGGAAGAGGGAAGUGGAAUUCUCGGAGUAGCGGUAAAAUGCGUGGAUCUCGAGAGGAACACCGAUGGCGAAGGCAGCUUCCUGGUCCAUUUCUGACACUGAGGCACGAAAGCGUGGGGAGCAAACAGG